rnacentral:rRNA from 1 species
ACGAACGCUGGCGGCGUGCUUAACACAUGCCAGUCGAACGGUGAAGCGCCUUCCUUUUUGGUGGGUGUGGAUGAGUGGCGAACGGGUGAGUAACACGUGAGUAACCUGCCCCCUUCUUCUGGAUAACCGCAUGAAAGUGUGGCUAAUACGGGAUAUUCUGGGUCUGUCGCAUGAUGGGUCUGGGAAAGAUAUUGUUUCUGUGGGGGAUGGGCUCGCGGCCUAUCAGCUUGUUGGUGGGGUGAUGGCCUACCAAGGCGGUGACGGGUAGCCGGCCUGAGAGGGUGGACGGUCACACUGGGACUGAGACACGGCCCAGACUCCUACGGGAGGCAGCAGUGGGGAAUAUUGCACAAUGGGCGCAAGCCUGAUGCAGCGACGCCGCGUGAGGGAUGGAGGCCUUCGGGUUGUGAACCUCUUUCGCCAGUGAAGCAGGCCUGCCUCGUUUGUGGGUGGGUUGACGGUAGCUGGAUAAGAAGCGCCGGCUAACUACGUG